rnacentral:misc_RNA from 1 species
CAGAGUUGCAAAACUCCCAACCAUUGUGAACCUACCUACAGUUGCUUCGGCAGGCGGCUUCGUCCUAGUUUCAGCGCUCUCGGGCGCUGGUUUUAGGGAGAAGCUCAGCAUCCUUCAGUGGGUGCGUUUGCCGAUAGCCCCUAAACUCUUUAUAUUUUAGGCCUCUCUGAGUAAAAACAAAAAUAAGUUA